UAGAUGCGAGAGUAGAGCAUAUCAAUAAGCGGAGGAAAAGAAACUAACAAGGAUUCCCUUAGUAACGGCGAGUGAAGCGGGAAGAGCUCAAAUUUGAAAUCUUCAAGGUUCUACCUUGACGAAUUGUAGUUUAAAGAAGUGUUUUCUGUUAGAUGAGUAGCAAAAGUUCCUUGGAAUGGGACAUCAUAGAGGGUGAGAAUCCCGUAUUUGGUUAUUCAUUCUAGCUUUGUGAUACACUUUCAAAGAGUCGGAUUGUUUGGGAAUGCAGUCCAAAAUGGGUGGUAAAUUUCAUCUAAAGCUAAAUAUUGGCGAGAGACCGAUAGCGAACAAGUACCGUGAGGGAAAGAUGAAAAGAACUUUGAAAAGAGAGUUAAACAGUACGUGAAAUUGUCAAAAGGGAAGCGUUUGACACCAGUGUUGUUUUUCCGAAAAUCAAUUACGAAUGGCUUGAUUUUGUGUUGUAUUGACCUUAUCAGCUUUCUGCACUUUUUUCGAGUCUUUCUUAAUGCACUUUUCGGUUAACAAGUCAACAUCAAUUUCUUUUGUUGUAAAAGAGUAUUCGGAAGGUGGCUUUCUUUUCGGAGAAAGUGUUUAUAGCCCUAUACUUCUACAAUCGGAGAGAUUGAGGUCUGCAGCGUAGAUCCUUCGGGGUUAGAUACACUUGUGCUAAGUUGUAGCUUUUCAUAGACAACUUGUUGACUAUGUUUAGUCAUGCGGCUUACUCGCUUAUGCUAUUUUACCUACGCUUAGGAUGUUGAGCGCAUGUCUCUCUCU
rnacentral:rRNA from 1 species